AUGAUGUGUCACUGGCAGGAAAAGCAUGUCACCUUCGUCCACGACGGAGAGCAAGUCACUUUACAGGGGGUUCGUCCCAAAGAGCAACCAACUAUUACAGCCAUUGAGCCUGAAGAGUUGAGCAAGAUGAUUGCAGGCAACGAUAUGUGGGCUAUGGCUCUGAUGGACGCGCGCGCACACUCGUUGACACCGAUAAGUGACCUGCUCGACGAGUUCGCCGAUGUCUUUGCCGCGCCCAAGGGACUACCACCGCACCGUCAAUACGACCAUGCCGUCACCCUGGUGGACGGCGCGCGCCACGCAAACACGCGGCCAUACCAGUUCUCGCCGGUGCAAAAAGAUGAGAUUGAGAAGCAGGUUCGUGAGAUGCUGGACUCGGGGGUGAUCACGUACAGUCUCAGCCCCUAUGCGGCACCGGUCCUCCUCGUUAAAAAGAAGGACGGUACAUGGCACUUCUGUGUAGACUACUAG
rnacentral:rRNA from 1 species